AACGAACGCUGGCGGCAUGCCUAACACAUGCAAGUCGAACGAGACCUUCGGGUCUAGUGGCGCACGGGUGCGUAACGCGUGGGAACCUGCCCUUAGGUUCGGAAUAACUCCCCGAAAGGGGUGCUAAUACCGGAUAAUGUCUUCGGACCAAAGAUUUAUCGCCUUUGGAUGGGCCCGCGUUGGAUUAGCUAGUUGGUAGGGUAAAAGCCUACCAAGGCGACGAUCCAUAGCUGGUCUGAGAGGAUGAUCAGCCACACUGGGACUGAGACACGGCCCAGACAGGGACGGGUGGGAGCGGGAGGGAGUGUGGGAGAAGGGGGAAGGGCUGGAGCAGGCGAGGACGCGUGAGGUAGGAAGCGCGCAGGCUUGAAAAGCGUUUGGAACAGGAAUGAGAAUGACGGGAGAGGGAAAGACAGCUCCGGCUAACUCCGCGCCAGCAGCCGGGGUAAUACUGGGAAGAGCACCCGUCUGAAC
rnacentral:rRNA from 1 species